CAUCAACCCCUUGUAUAGUGUGACAACGUCAGCGUUGUAUACAUCUCCAUCAACCCCAUCCAACACCAACGCACGAAGCACGUUGAGAUCGAUCUCCACUUCGUCCGUGAGCGUGUGGCUGUCGGCGACAUUCGUGUUCAUCAUGUUCCGACGCACUCACAAUUUGUCGACAUCUUCACCAAGGGUCUUCCCUCCUCGCUAUUCUCGGAUUUCCAGUCCAGUUUCAACAUCUGUCGUAGUUAGAGUUUCGACCGUGAGGGGUGUUAGACUCUUGUUUAUAUGUGUGUUACGGGCCUAGAGCCUAAUCCAUUAGGGGUAACUUUUCUGAUGCUAUUUAUGCAACCCAUGAAUUUAGGGUUUCUAAUUCUGCAACACUACAACUACACUAAUAGGCAACUCAAGGAAAACAACCACGUAGUCAAACUUAGUACAUUAGUUUAGCAUGACUAUUUAUAAGUCAAAUAAAAUAGGAAAAAGGCUAUUUUAUGACCACCAACUAUUCGUUGUAUCUGUUUAACUCCCCACAAUAACAACAAGAAAUAAAGAGAAUUGAGAGAAAAAAGUUGGUUGUUCCUUUGAGGGAUUGGGGGUGAUUUUUCGCAAUUGAGAAAAAAUAGGGAAAGGGAAUUGGAAAGGAAAUCUAGAGUUUUUUUGCAUCUAGAGUUCUAGACCCCAUUAUCAUUGGUUAAAGGGAAACAUGUCACUUAUUCUCAAUCUAGUGGAGAUGUUCUUAGGGAGCACCUGGGUGAGUGGCGUCUCAACUCCCAACUUAAGGCUCUACCAAGUACCAACGGAGCAAGUUCUUAGGGAGCACCUGGGUGAGUGGCGUCUCAACUCUCAACUUAAGGCUCUACCAAGUACCAACAGAGCAAGUUCUUAGAGAGCACCUGGGUGACAAAAAACCAAGAAUGGUUCAAUGCAAAAGAAAUGUAAAAUCGAUGUAGGCGAAUUGCUCCCUCUGGCCCAAUAAAGUGUCGUUUUGACAUCAUCAUUGUAAAACACAACUCUAACCAUUGUUUCCUAUCAUAAUAGAUUCAUAUACAUAGAAAAAUUAUAUCGUCUAUGAAGCUUAGUUUGAGAUAAAUUGGAACAUCAUUUUGCAAGUUCAGUCUCAACAGUGAAAGGCAAUAAUAAUCAAAGUUUAGUUGUGCCCAUCCCAAAACGAUACUACAUAGCUAAAGGGUUUACCAUGCGUUUGGGAUCUUACGUGGAUCACAAAUUCAUGUUGCAAAUUAAUAGUUCAAGAACCUACUACCUACAUGACACAUAUGCUGCUAUGGCAUUCAUUUUGAGAUAAAUGGACACAUCAUUUUGUAUGUUCAAACUCAACACUAAAAGGUAUCUAUUAUCAAAGUUUAUAGGUUUGGUUGCACCCAUUCCAAAAUGACAUUCUGUAGCGACUAGUGGGUGUAAACACAGUAGCCAUCUUCAUAGAUCAAUCCAUUAACGUCUCCAAAAUCAAAUCUUAGAGAAAUAAAAGUACCUUCUAGAACGACCUCAAUGGAAUUACUGAAACGACUAGAUCAAAUAGUUUCUCCCAACAAAUAAAUGUGAGAAUAAUGUUUCACUUUUCCUUUUCUUACCACUAUGAGUGUCUACUAAUUUGAUUACUAAUCUCUGAUGCUAUAAUGCAGGAGUUUCUACGUGCAUCACCCCUCCCAUGCACCUCUCCCUGAUCCCUCGCGGGCCAAUGGUAAACCAUGCUUGUUGGCUCUAAACACACAUUCACACUCAUCUAGCCAACAAAACGCACAUGUUUUUGGUAUUUUAUACUCUAUACUCAAGCAGAAUAUACGUAUUUUUUA
rnacentral:lncRNA from 1 species